GGAGAGAUGGCAGAGUGGUCGAAUGCACUCGACUUGAAAUCGAGCGUUGCGCAAGCAACCGAGGGUUCGAAUCCCUCUCUCUCCG
rnacentral:tRNA from 1 species